CACGUAGGCGGCGAAGCAAGUCGGGUGUGAAAGCCCUGGGCUCAACCCAGGAAGUGCAUUCGAAACUAUUUCGCUUGAAUCUCGGAGGGGGUCAGAGAAUUCCCGGUGUAGAGGUGAAAUUCGUAGAUAUCGGGAGGAAUACCAGUGGCGAAGGCGCUGACCUGGACGAAGAUUGACGCUGAGGUGCGAAAGCGCGGGGAGCAAACA
rnacentral:rRNA from 1 species